rnacentral:rRNA from 1 species
ACGAACGCUGGCGGCGUGCUUCACCCCUGCCAGUCGCACGGAAAGGCCCUGCUUUUGUGGGGUGCUCGAGUGGCAAACGGGUGAGUAACACGUGAGUAACCUGCCCUUGACUUUGGGAUAACUUCAGGAAACUGGGGCUAAUACCGGAUAGGAGCUCCUGCUGCAUGGUGGGGGUUGGAAAGUUUCGGCGGUUGGGGAUGGACUCGCGGCUUAUCAGCUUGUUGGUGGGGUAGUGGCUUACCAAGGCUUUGACGGGUAGCCGGCCUGAGAGGGUGACCGGCCACAUUGGGACUGAGAUACGGCCCAGACUCCUACGGGAGGCAGCAGUGGGGAAUAUUGCACAAUGGGCGGAAGCCUGAUGCAGCAACGCCGCGUGCGGGAUGACGGCCUUCGGGUUGUAAACCGCUUUCGCCUGUGACGAAGCGUGAGUGACGGUAAUGGGUAAAGAAGCACCGGCUAACUACGUG